rnacentral:rRNA from 1 species
CCAGACUCCUACGGGAGGCAGCAGUGGGGAAUAUUGCACAAUGGGGGAAACCCUGAUGCAGCGACGCCGCGUGAGUGAAGAAGUAUUUCGGUAUGUAAAGCUCUAUCAGCAGGGAAGAAAUAGCGACCUUUGGGUCGCCAGACGGUACCUGACUAAGAAGCCCCGGCUAACUACGUGCCAGCAGCCGCGGUAAUACGUAGGGGGCAAGCGUUAUCCGGAUUUACUGGGUGUAAAGGGAGCGUAGACGGCAGCACAAGUCUGAAGUGAAAUGCCGGGGCUUAACCCCGGAACUGCUUUGGAAACUGUAAAGCUGGAGUGCAGGAGAGGUAAGCGGAAUUCCUAGUGUAGCGGUGAAAUGCGUAGAUAUUAGGAGGAACACCAGUGGCGAAGGCGGCUUACUGGACUGCAACUGACGUUGAGGCUCGAAAGCGUGGGGAGCAAACAGGAUUAGAUACCCGCGUA